GUGCAGCAGGCGCGAAACCUCCGCAAUGUACGAAAGUGCGACGGGGGGAUCCCAAGUGUUAUGCUUUUUUGUAUAACUUUUCAUUAGUGUAAAAAGCUUUUAGAAUAAGAGCUGGGCAAGACCGGUGCCAGCCGCCGCGGUAACACCGGCAGCUCGAGUGGUAGCUGUUUUUAUUGGGCCUAAAGCGUUCGUAGCCGGUUUGAUAAGUCUUUGGUGAAAGCUUGUAGCUUAACUAUAAGAAUUGCUGGAGAUACUAUCAGACUUGAAGUCGGGAGAGGUUAGAGGUACUACCGGGGUAGGGGUGAAAUCCUAUAAUCCUGGGAGGACCACCUGUGGCGAAGGCGUCUAACUGGAACGAUCUUGACGGUGAGUAACGAAAGCCAGGGGCGCGAACCGGAUUAGAUACCCGGGUAGUCC
rnacentral:rRNA from 1 species